UACAGAGGUGGCAAGCGUUGUUCGGAAUUACUGGGCGUAAAGGGCGAGUAGGUGGCCAUCUAAGUCAGACGUGAAAUCCCCCGGCUUAACCUGGGAACUGCGUCUGAUACUGGACGGCUUGAGUAUGGGAGAGGAACGUAGAAUUCCAGGUGUAGCGGUGAAAUGCGUAGAUAUCUGGAGGAAUACCGGUGGCGAAGGCGGCGACCUGGGUAGAUACUGACGCUGAGGCGCGAAAGCCAGGGGAGCGAACGGG
rnacentral:rRNA from 1 species